rnacentral:rRNA from 1 species
AACGAACGCUGGCGGCGCGCUUAACACAUGCAAGUCGAACGAGAAGGCGUAGCAAUACGCUUGUACAGUGGCGAACGGGUGAGUAAUACGUGGGCGACCUACCCUCGAGUGGGGAAUAACCCGCCGAAAGGCGGGCUAAUGCCGCGUACGCUUCCAUCUUUAUGGAGGUGGAAGGAAAGCCGUGCCGUGGGCACGGCGCUCAAGGAUGGGCUCACGUCCUAUCAGCUUGUUGGUAGGGAACGGCCUACCAAGGCUCCGACGGGUAGCUGGUCUGAGAGGACGAUCAGCCACACUGGCACUGCGACACGGGCCAGACUCCUACGGGAGGCAGCAGUAAGGAAUAUUGCGCAAUGGGCGAAAGCCUGACGCAGCGACGCCGCGU